UCACCCCUCAAGCCUGGCUUGUUGUUGGACCUCCUAGGUCUGGGUUCACCCCCGACCGGUCUCAAUAGUAAUGACGGCGUCCGUGGGACUCUCGGUGCAACGAGCUUUUUACGAGGCACGCACAGAGUCGAAAGGUCCCCCGGCACGGUCUCUCAAAUCUUUUUUCUAA
rnacentral:misc_RNA from 1 species